rnacentral:rRNA from 1 species
ACGAAGGGUGCAAGCGUUACUCGGAAUUACUGGGCGUAAAGCGUGCGUAGGUGGUUCGUUAAGUCUGAUGUGAAAGCCCUGGGCUCAACCUGGGAAUGGCAUUGGAUACUGGCGACCUAGAGUGCGGUAGAGGGUAGCGGAAUUCCCGGUGUAGCAGUGAAAUGCGUAGAGAUCGGGAGGAACACCAGUGGCGAAGGCGACUGUCUGGGGAGCAACUGACGCUGAGGCGCGAAAGCUGGGGGAGCAAACGGGA